rnacentral:rRNA from 1 species
GGGUGGUAAUGCCGGAUGCUCCGACAUGACGCAUGUCGUGUUGGGAAAGAUUCUAUCGGUAUGGGAUGGGGUCGCGUCCUAUCAGGUAGUCGGCGGGGUAACGGCCCACCGAGCCUACGACGGGUAGCCGGCCUGAGAGGGCGACCGGCCACAUUGGGACUGAGAUACGGCCCAGACUCCUACGGGAGGCAGCAGUGGGGAAUAUUGCACAAUGGGCGCAAGCCUGAUGCAGCGACGCCGCGUGCGGGAUGACGGCCUUCGGGUUGUAAACCGCUUUUGAYUGGGAGCAAGCCCCUCGGGGUGAGUGUACCUUUCGAAUAAGCACCGGCUAACUACGUGCCAGCAGCCGCGGUAAUACGUAGGGUGCAAGCGUUAUCCGGAAUUAUUGGGCGUAAAGGGCUCGUAGGCGGUUCGUCGCGUCCGGUGUGAAAGUCCAUCGCUUAACGGUGGAUCCGCGCCGGGUACGGGCGGGCUUGAGUGCGGUAGGGGAGACUGGAAUUCCCGGUGUAACGGUGGAAUGUGUAGAUAU